rnacentral:lncRNA from 1 species
GAUGCCCACCUCUCAUCACAGGCCCAUGCUGGGGCCAUGCGCACGGAUUACCUGGAAUGACUGGCCCGCAGAACCCAUCACUGAAUCACAGGCCCAUGCUGGGGCCAUGCACACGGAUUACCUGGAAUGACUGGCCCACAGAAUCCAUCACUGGAUCACAGGCCCAUGCUGGGGCCAUGCGCACGGAUUACCUGGAAUGACUGGCCCACAGAACCCAUUACUUGGGGGUGUUUGAUGAGAGAGACAAAGUGAGAAGGCGAAUUAAAUACGUUUUGAUGAAGAUAGACAGAGCUUCACUCUUGCUGCCCAGGCUGCAGUACAAUGGUGCGAUCUCAGUUCACCACAACCUCCGCCUCCCAGGUUCAAGUGAUUCUCCUGCUUCAGCCUCCUGAGUAGCUGGGAUUACAGAGCCUGACUUUCUCAUCGAAACCAUGGCUGCUUGGACCCAGGCUCUCCCCAUGAGGUAAUGAAUGUGCAAGCACUUUGCAGGGAAAAUAAGUGCCUGACACCUGACCUAAA